rnacentral:misc_RNA from 1 species
CCAAAAAAAAAAAAAACCGCCGAACGCAAUCACUUUCCUUUUCCUCAUCUCUCUCUCUAUAGCUGGUAACUGCCAUGGCAACGGCCUCCGUCCCGGACAAUCUCUCCAGAUACCAGUAUGUCUACCUGGCCAAGCUUGCCGAGCAAGCUGAGCGAUAUGAGGAGAUGGUCCAGUUUAUGCAAAAGCUCGUUCUCGGAUCUACUCCGUCCGGCGAGCUCACUGUGGAGGAGCGCAACCUUCUCUCUGUCGCUUAUAAAAACGUGAUCGGCUCUCUCCGGGCGGCUUGGCGGAUUGUGUCGUCCAUCGAGCAGAAAGAGGAAGGGAGGAAGAAUGAGGAGCAUGUUGUGCUCGUCAAGGACUAUAGAUCCAAAGUGGAGAGCGAGUUAUCGGAGGUUUGUGCUAGUAUACUGAGCUUGUCAGACUCGAAUCUGAUACCUUCUGCCGCUGCUAGUGAAUCG